GCUGAUAUAGCUUAGAGGUGGAGCGCUCGCCUGCAAUGGGAGAGGGCUAGGGUUCAAAUCCGCAUAUCUUCA
rfam:Ascaris lumbricoides genome assembly, scaffold: ALTE_contig0013897